rnacentral:tRNA from 1 species
GGAGAGGUCGCGUAGUUUGGCCUAGCGCGCACGCCUGGAGAGCGUGUUCACCGAAAGGUGACGAGGGUUCAAAUCCCUCCCUCUCCG